rnacentral:misc_RNA from 1 species
AGAUACCUCAGCGCUACCUGGCGGAACUGGAUUUCUCUCCCGCCUGCCGGCCUGCCUGCCACAGCCGGACUCCGCCACUCCGACCAGGGCAGCCCCUUUGCCCAGGAGCUGCUGGACGACGGUCAGCAAGCCAGCCCCUACCACCCCGGCAGCUGUGGCGCAGGAGCCCCCUCCCCUGGCAGCUCUGACGUCUCCACCGCAGAUGGUUUUCGUGACUGCAAGAAGGGGGAUCCCAAGCACGGGAAGCGGAAACGAGGCCGGCCCCGAAAGCUGAGCAAAGAGUACUGGGACUGUCUCGAGGGCAAGAAGAGCAAGCACGCGCCCAGAGGCACCCACCUGUGGGAGUUCAUCCGGGACAUCCUCAUCCACCCGGAGCUCAACGAGGGCCUCAUGAAGUGGGAGAAUCGGCAUGAAGGCGUCUUCAAGUUCCUGCGCUCCGAGGCUGUGGCCCAACUAUGGGGCCAAAAGAAAAAGAACAGCAACAUGACCUACGAGAAGCUGAGCCGGGCCAUGAGGUACUACUACAAACGGGAGAUCCUGGAACGGGUGGAUGGCCGGCGACUCGUCUACAAGUUUGGCAAAAACUCAAGCGGCUGGAAGGAGGAAGAGGUUCUCCAGAGUCGGAACUGAGGGUUGGAACUAUACCCGGGACCAAACUCACGGACCACUCGAGGCCUGCAAACCUUCCUGGGAGGACAGGCAGGCCAGAUGGCCCCUCCACUGGGGAAUGCUCCCAGCUGUGCUGUGGAGAGAAGCUGAUGUUUUGGUGUAUUGUCAGCCAUCGUCCUGGGACUCGGAGACUAUGGCCUCGCCUCCCCACCCUCCUCUUGGAAUUACAAGCCCUGGGGUUUGAAGCUGACUUUAUAGCUGCAAGUGUAUCUCCUUUUAUCUGGUGCCUCCUCAAACCCAGUCUCAGACACUAAAUGCAGACAACACCUUCCUCCUGCAGACACCUGGACUGAGCCAAGGAGGCCUGGGGAGGCCCUAGGGGAGCACCGUGAUGGAGAGGACAGAGCAGGGGCUCCAGCACCUUCUUUCUGGACUGGCGUUCACCUCCCUGCUCAGUGCUUGGGCUCCACGGGCAGGGGUCAGAGCACUCCCUAAUUUAUGUGCUAUAUAAAUAUGUCAGAUGUACAUAGAGAUCUAUUUUUUCUAAAACAUUCCCCUCCCCACUCCUCUCCCACAGAGUGCUGGACUGUUCCAGGCCCUCCAGUGGGCUGAUGCUGGGACCCUUAGGAUGGGGCUCCCAGCUCCUUUCUCCUGUGAAUGGAGGCAGAGACCUCCAAUAAAGUGCCUUCUGGGCUUUUUCUAACCUUUGUCUUAGCUACCUGUGUACUGAAAUUUGGGCCUUUGGAUCGAAUAUGGUCAAGAGGUUGGAGGGGAGGAAAAUGAAGGUCUACCAGGCUGAGGGUGAGGGCAAAGGCUGACGAAGAGGGGAGUUACAGAUUUCCUGUAGCAGGUGUGGGCUUACAGACACAUGGACUGGGCUGGGAGGCGAGCAAAGGAAGCAGCUGAGACUGUUGGAGAACGCUUACAAGACUUCAUGCAAGCAAGGACAUGAACUCAGAACACUGAGGUCAGAAGCAUCCUGCUGUCAUGACACCGCUCGAGUGACCUUGACCUUGACCAAGUCUGUCCUGUUUAGGACUGAUUUUUCCUAUUAGGCUAGGGUUUGGACCUGAUGUUCUCAAGAUGUCUAGAAUUGCAUGGCUGGCCUUGUGGAAUAGAUGGUUUUGCAUUCCAGCCAAGUGUGCUGUAAACUGUAUAUCUGUAAUAUGAAUCCCAGCUUUUGAGUCUGACAAAAUCAGAGUUAGGAUCUUGUAAAGGAAAAAAAAAAAAAAACAAAACAAAAUGGAGAUGAGUACUUGCUGAGAAAGAAUGAGGGAAGGAGUUGGCAUUUGUUGAAAGUGUAGUCUUUUUCUCUUUUUUUUUUAAUUGCAACUUUUACUUUAGAUUUAGGAGGUCGUGCGCAGGUUUGUUACAUGGGUAUAUUGUGUGAUGCUGAGCUUGGGAUGCGAAUGAUCCUGUCACCCAGGUAGUGAGUAUAGCACCCAGUGAAACUGUAGUCUCAUGCCAGGCACUGUGCUAGCCCACUCUGGCUCAUUUAAUCCUCUCCUAAGAAGAGAGGAGACACAGCGUCCCCAUUUGACAGAUGCAGAAAGAGGUUCCACAGGUGUGCCUUGAUUCUGUCCUAAAACCGUUUCCCGGAAGCUUUUCCUGGUGUGGGCGCUUCUAACCUAAUCCUCAAUCGAUUCCAGAACUAUUACUCUGUUUCCACAGUGAUACUGUGUCUAGGUUUUAGGGAGGACAGUUCAUUGAUGUUACUUAAGAAUGCUUUCCAGGUGGAAAGUUCCUUAAGUUUGAGGCUUCAAAUUCCAUACAGCACAUUAAAAUCCCAUUCAUGAGUUUGAAAUACUGCUCUGUUGUCUUGGAAAUACCAAUCAGAUUGUUGGCUGAAGUGAUGUGGAUAAAGAAGGGAUCUUAGAAAAA